rnacentral:rRNA from 1 species
CAGUAGCCACGGUAAUACGUAGGUGGCAAGCGUUGUCCGGAUUUAUUGGGCGUAAAGCGAGCGCAGGCGGUCAAUUAAGUCUGAUGUGAAAGCUCCCGGCUCAACCGGGGAGGGUCAUUGGAAACUGGGAGACUUGAGUGCAGAAGAGGAGAGCGGAAUUCCAUGUGUAGCGGUGAAAUGCGUAGAUAUAUGGAGGAACACCAGUGGCGAAGGCGGCUCUCUGGUCUGUAACUGACGCUGAGGCUCGAAAGCGUGGGGAGCAAACAGGAUUAGAUACCCCUGUAGUCCCUGUCUCUUAUAC